rnacentral:lncRNA from 1 species
CACUCCUGUUCUCUUUCCCUUGCUUGCUUUGCUUGUAUUUUUUCCCAUUCUCUGCUAGCUGUUAUGAGUGGCUUUUCAUCUUCUGAUGGUUUAGCAAUCUUACUGAGUGCGCCACUCGCUCCAGGACGCCCUGUUAUCCGUUCUCAGAAUGGUUCUGCGCCCAUCGCCUGCAGAAAAAACACCCGAUUUGAAGCAUCUACAGGAUCAAGUUAUGCGAGGUGUUUGCUAUGAGAAUGCUAUGGUAUUUACAUGUUCACCACAAGACAGUAUGGGGUACAAAUGUUUGAAGUGACAACUGUGACUUAAUUGUUCUUUCCAGCUUUGGGAUGUUAGGAGUAUGCAUUCUCAAAUUGUUGGACCAGUAAC